rnacentral:rRNA from 1 species
AUGCCUCGCCCCGUUCCCCAUUCCUGGGCUCCGGCGCGGGCGCGGACGGAGGCGAGCACGCGGGCGUGCGCGGACAGCAGCGACGGCUGGAGCUGUCGUCCUCUGCUCCGGCGUCCUCCAUCCUCCCCCGCGAUGCCACUGCCCCGCCUCGCCGCGCGCCGUCUCCGCAGCACCUGCCCCGCCUUGCCGCACAACCGCCACUGCCCCACCUUGCCGCACAACCGCCACUGCCCCACCUCGCCGUGCCGUCUCCGCAGCACCUGCCCUUCCUCGCCGCGCCGUCGCCAUCGCCAUCGCCAUCGCCAGAGAAAUGGGUAA